rnacentral:lncRNA from 1 species
GGGUUUGAGACCCCAGUCACCAUGUACACGUUACGGCUGCCCACAGAGCAGAAUGCCCCCAGGACUUGGCCCAGAGGUACCCUGCCCCCUCCUCCCUCCUCAUUCCUGUCUGCCCCUUCCUGCUCCCCCUCUGCUGGGAUAUGAGCUGCCAGCAGCUGCUUUGGGGGUCCGUCCUGUGCAGUCCUGGCUGACCUGCACCUGACUUGUAAAUGGUUGUUUCUUUAAGUUGCCUUUGCAUAUAUUUGCUUUGAUCUUAUACGUGGUUUUCAUAAUCUAACUUUUUACAGGAAGAUUGUAUUUCCUUUAUAUCCAAUUUCUGAGUCUCUCUCCCUGUUGCCUCCAAGUGCCAAGUGCUGGGAACACAUAAAUUCGCUCAGGGCCAAGAAUAGAAACUAAGAUUUAUGGGUUUCAAUCUAUUAGUGUAAUCAGCAGGAUCACUUACUCCCCAGAUCCUUCAUUUCAUGACCAUAUUUUUCUUCAUAAAUGGCACCUUUUGAAGAUGCUUAGCUAUUGGGCUAAGAGGCCCAAUUCAAAGUUUUAAAUUCACGUGAUUUGGGCUGAGAAUUAUACUAAACAUCCGAACUGUGGUUGGAAAACACCCUUUGCAUGUGCUCAAAUAAACUCCAAACUCCUUAAAGGAUUUUCUUGAAUUAAAGAAUAUUCAUUUAUGGACUGAUGAAAAAAUACAAAUUUUUCGCAAAAGCAAUGUCUCGAGAGAGAGUAGCUUAUGUGGCUGUGAAAACCAGAGGCUGUAAAGCAAAUGUAACUCAGCCUACAAGCACAGCAUCCGCAGGCUCAUUAUGUGGACGUCAAGGGUGUUUUCCAGAGAACCAGGCUCAGGUGGGCUUAGGGGCAUCCAAAAUCUGAGAUUUCUUCUUCUUUUUUUGGCUGCCGGGUGCAGCAGCUUGGUAUGGGAUCUCAGUUCCCAGAUGAGGGACUGAACCCAAGCUACAGUGGUGAACGUGCCCAAUCCUGGCCACCGGACAAAGAUUAGAAACUAGGCUGGCCAUAAAGUAUUUUAAAUUAUUUUUGAUGUCAUCAAACGUGAAGCGGGGACUUUUUCUGUUCGAGAAGGGGAAUGGCCUCUUGGCACCAUUCGCAGGAGAGGCGGCAGACUCCUAGAGGCAACAGAGUCUCCUCCAUCUCCUCCCGUAAGGCUGUACCGUGGUCUAGGAGCAGCUUCCCCAAGUCCUCAGAAGACACAUCCCAGGCGGUGGCUGCUGCUCCCUCCCCGAGCUCUGGCGCUCCUGUGACUCUGCCCGCUGCCCUUCUCAGCUCUGGGGCUGAGCUCCCGAGAGAGGGCCCCUCCAGGCCCUGGUCCCCUCCAGGCUCGCACACCGCUGGGGUCCCUCUGCCUCUCUCCACGGGACACCAUUGUCUUUCCUGAGAAAAAUCUGCAGGUCAAGGGCUCUGGGGGUGUGUGGGGGGGACCUCAAUUACUUUUCUCUUUCCUCAAUGCCUCGUUUUGAAAGGAAAACAAAUUUGCAGGCUCCACAGAACCCCUGUCUUACCUACUUUGCUCAUAGACAAUCCCCCUCCCCAGCAGCAACAAAAACCACAAAAACAAGCGAAGAACAACCAGCGAACCCAGCAGCUGCAUCUUCCCAAAGACCUCGGGCAGCUGCCCGCGGGGAAAAGGGAUGCGUUUUCCCCCACGUUCAGGAGGCUGCUCUGCUGUUUUAGUUCUAAGAGCUCACCGUGGGGAUUCCAGCCAGGAACAGAGCAUCGAAAGGCUUCCUGUCUCACCACCGCCUGCUCCGCCUGUGGAGCGCGGGACCCUCGCCAGCCCUGGUAUAAAGUGGCAGAUCCUCGGCUGGGGUCUGUUCUCGCCAGGCAGUGCCAGACCAUCCCAGCAGAGGGCAUGGGCUGGCCGCUUCCCGCAGCCUCCUUGGUCCCGGCUCCCGCACCCAUCUGACCCGGUGGAGUGGGAGGUGCCUGGGCGGAAGCUGCCCUCCAGGCCCCCACCGCCCGGGGGCGCAGGCACGAGCAGCCGGGCCUAGAGGCCUCAGCACAUCUGCAGCCACGUCAGAAAUCCAUUGAUUUUUGUGACAGCCACGAGGCCCAUCCAAUUAAAAGUCCUCACCCGCGUGUUCCAAGCCUUUCUUCUUGCCAAGUGUGUUUGCCGCAGGCACAAAGGAAUGCUGUUGGUCAAUGUGGCCUCAUUUCCACUGCUGAUCAGGGUUUUUGGUUGUUUUGGCGGGGGUCGGGGGCACACUCGUGCCAUAUGGAGGGUCCCAGGCUAGGAGUCCCAUCUGAGCUACAGCUGCCGGCCCACACCACAGCCACAGCAACGCCAGAUAAAGUCACGUCUGCGACGUACACCACAGCUCACGGCAAGGCAAGGUCCCCAACCCUGAGCGAGGCCAGGGAUCGAAGCCAGCAACCUCCUGGUUCCUCGUCGGUUUGGUGUUCCCUGAGCCACGAUGGGAACUCCUCCGAUCAGUUUUAAACCCGCCCCCAGUACUGGAAGGUGGGAGGUCUUCCGAGAUGAUAUUAGUAAACAUUUAGGCUUUGAGGGGGGUUGAGGCCAGGGCCCCCUUCCUCGUCUGGAGCUGGAAUUGUCACUGUGUUUUAAGUUUCUGUCCAGGGUUAGUGACCCUGCUGAGGAAGGAGGGAAGUGAGAGGGUGGUGCUUAUUAACCAAGGGAGAUGCAAGGGGAAAAGGGGAAAGAAAAGGGACUGCUUUGAAAUCACAGAGCAAACCAUCAACUCAUAGUUGUUAGCAUCCCAUAAACAUAAAGCAUGAAAGACAAAUAGGAUAGAAGCAGAAUAUACCUGCCCAAGGAGUCCGUGUCUGUGUAUCCAAGAGGUCAGUCCUUUGGUGGAGGCAGUGAAGAGACUGGAAAAGACUGUCAUUGAUAUCAGACAAACCUGGGUUUCAGUCUUGGCUCUGCCGCUUUUAGCCGUGUGACCUUAGGCAAGUUACUUGAUCUCUCUGAAACUUAGCGAGUAAUACCUUCCUUUUGAGACUGACUCGCAUUCUCACACAAAACUUCCAGAAGAGUACCUGGCAAACAGGGAUUGAUGGACAUUUUAAUCAUACUGUGUAGUUUUCUGCAACUUUCAACAGAAUUCCUGAUGCCUGUUUGCACAGGUCUGGAAGUAUCUUGAGAGCCUACACUGAACAUUUUUUCCUUCUGGUUCAGGGUAGCAACGAAAGAAGCUAAACUAUACACAGGGAAACCUUCACUGUCAAAUCCCACCUUUCUUCCUAGAGAUACUCUUUAUGUUUCCAAACUUCUCAAGGUUUCCCUUUUAGCCCAAAUGCCUGUGCAGUGACCCUGCUGACAAAGAGAUGCCAGCUGUGUAUUGGAGGGCGGGGUGAUUUCCCCGCCACUCUUGCGGUCGCAGUGUUUGCUUCUGUGUGGUCUUUGUGGCACUGUUGAUAAGUAAGCUGAACGGGGGCGAUGCCGGGUGAAGCACUGGGUGGGGAACUGACCUGCCUGUUUUGAACCUUCGACGUUAACGCAUUUCGUGAUCCAGGUUCUCCAGGUCUCCGUGUACUUGCCUGCUAAGUGGGGAUGAGAAGAACGCUGCCAUCUUCCUGGGACUACUGACCCAGGACACCAAGCUGUAGGUUCCUGACAUCAAAUUAACCAUUCUUUUGCAAGAUUGCACUCUUCGGAAAUAACUUUUUCUGGAAAGUAAUGGAAGUGUUUCUGACUCGGCGUUGCGAUCCCGUUGCUCGUGGUCCGUCUUUUUGAGUUAGCCGUUCUACGAGGGCUGAAGCGCUCUCUCACAGGGGUUUUAAUUUGCAUUUCCCAGUGAUGGAGCUUGUGAGCAUCUUUCAUGUGAUUCUUUGCCAUCCUUUACCUUACUUGGCAUUAUCUGACAAUUUGACAGAUUGUUCAAAUCUUCUAUCUAGUUUUUAGUUGUGUUAUUUUCUUUUUUUUUUUAUUGAGUUUUGAGAGUUUUAAAAAAUAUGUUCUGGACACAAGAACUUUAUCAGGUAGGUAUUUUGCAAAUAUUUUCCCCUGUUCUCUAUCUCUCUCUCUCCUUUUUUUUUUUUUUUUUUUUUUUUUUGCUUUUUAGGGCUGCACCUGCAACGUAUAGAAGAUCCCAGGCUAGGGGUUGAAUCGAAGUUACAGCUGCUGACCUACUCCACAGCCACAGCAACUCGGAAUCUGAGCCGUGUCUGUGACGUACGCCACAGCGCAGGGCAAUGCCAGAUCCUUAACCCACUGAGCAAGGCCAGGGAUCGAACCUGCUUCCUCAUGGAUACUAGUCGGGUAAUCCAACAUCAUCUUUUGAAGAGUUGGAAUUUUUAAUCUUGAUAAGGUCCAAUUUAUUACUUUUUUUCUUUUAUGAGUCAUGUGUUUGAUAUUGUAACUAAGAAAUAUUUGCCUAAACCUAGGUCACAAAAAUUUUUCCUAUGUUUUCUUCCAUGAUCCGUUUUGAAGUAGUUUUCAUAUAUUCUGUGAGGUUUGGACAGAGGGUUUUUUUUUUUUGUUUUUUUGUUUUGUUUUUUACUAUGGAUAUCUAUUUUUUCCAGUAUCAUCAAAGCUAGAUUAUCAUUAAGGUUGAAAAUAUUAUCUUUUCCUCAUUGAAUUGCCUUUGCACCUUUGUUGAAAAUCAAUUGAUCUUCUAUGCAUGGGUCUAUUCUGAAGAGCAUCUUGAUUUUCAUUGCAUAAUCCUGUACUGAAAUUUUCUGCUUCCUGCCUUCAGCCCCUGCAACUCCUCCCCGUGAUACCCAGACAGGUCCCUCUCCCUCCUCCCAGACACUGCGCGCUUCUGAGUCCCCAGCAUAGCCAGCAUGGACUGCUCUUCUAGAUCCUUGAUGCUCCUUGAGCCCCUAGGGAGGCUUGGCUGCACGUGAAGGCACCGAUCUCCCAGAGGUGAUGGGCCCCCUGAACCCUGUAUUCCAGGGAGCCUGUAAUGCAAAAAUCGCACUCCCCACUUUGGACCAGAGACUCUGAAACCCUGGCCAAGCUGGAGGACCCGGAGUGCCCUUACUCCCCCCAGCCCAGGGUUGAAUCAGAGCUGCAGCCACCAGCCUACAGGAGAGCCACAGGCAAUACCAGAUCCUUAACCCACUGAGUGAGGCCAGGGAUCAAACCCGCCACCUCAUGGUUCCUAGUUGGAUUUCCUAGUGGGAAAUUCCUCUAUGCUAACUAAUCUCUUAGAAUCAGUGAAGGGUGAGAAAAUGAGGAAUUUAGUUUUUCCCAGGCUCCCUGGCAUUCCCAGCUUGGGAUGUGGAAGAACACAAUGACGUUUUCACACUGAGGAUUGGGUGGGGUGGGGCAGAAGCCCCACCUAGAGCUUUGGGAUAAGGCAGGUGAUUAAGCCUGCUUGGAAGCCCACCUCCUCCAGAGUUAGCACGGUAAGUUUGCAACACAUGCAUUUUUUUUUCUUUCCUCUCAUGCCAGUUUUCCGAAGAAAUCCAUUUUUUCCAAAUGUCAUAACUGAAUUUAAACCAUUUUUUCCAACUCACUUCCUUCCGCACUGCAUCUCUAUCCUUCUCCAGCGUCACUUUGGGGAGGAGGGGUCAGCUGGAGAACACUUCCGAGCUGUCUUUUAGGAGGUGUCAGCCACGAAAACGUGGACUCGCCACCACUAAAGUGGCUCCCCGCCCCUUAGCGUCGCGCCUCCACUGCCACCAAUGUGCCAGGAGACCCAGCUCUCCCCACCCCGCAGUCGGGAAACCUGCAACUCCUCCCCCACGCCCCCCGACUCAGCGGCUUGGCGGGCGAUGUCUCUGGAGCACGUGCACCCAUUCUAAUUUUUUAUGCUUUGUUAUUCUGUCAAUUUCUUAAUCUAUUUAUGCCGGCUUUAUUUUUAGUGUGCCUAUUGUGACAGCAAAUCCUCAAAUUCCCUUGGUUGUUUUCGGAAAAUAGCCGUUCCCAAACCGUAAUGUAGACCCCAAAUAAAACACUGUGAGCCCCGGGCGGGUCCUGAGCAUCCGCAGCAGCCGGCCCCUUUUAGAGCCGCGCCCAGUUGCCCCUCGCAGGGCAGCCGGGGAGGCGGCAAGGAGAGCCAGGCCAGGUCAUGUUUGGAUGAGCAGCUCUGGGUUUCGCUGAAAAUGCUCAUUUCUUCUCCUUUUGGAGAAUUUCUUCAAACAUUAAUACAUUUCCUCCCCUCUCCCUAUCUUUUGUUGGCAACCGAUAAAAUAUGCAAAUGAUACAGAAACCAAUUAAUUUUUAGAAGGUUGCAGCUGUUUUGCUGUAUUUACAAGACACGAUGGGCACAUUUAGCAUGUGUGUGUGUGUGGAUGGAUGUGCAAGAGUGCGUAGGCUCAUGUGUUCGCAAACACAUGUGGAAGGCUCUGCUCAUCACAGACGCGUUCCCUCCAGAUAUGAGCCAUCGCUCAGCCAUGCGCAGGUCAUCGGAUCACUUUCCAAGUGCUUUUCCUGCCGGGGGAACUGAGACCAGAGUAUGUCCAUAACACAAUGAAGUUUCUCCUUCUCUGCCCGUGGAGAGGCGCAGGUGCCCCACUGGCCUUCUUCCGCCAGGCUGUGUCCUUCUGGCCACUCUCCAGGCAAGGGCUCCAGUGUCUUAAGCUCUGGGGACAUCGAGGGUCAUAGCUGCCAGUCCCACUGGUAGAACCUGGUUAGAUUUAGAACUCAUAAUGACAAGCAUCAAAGUCUUUCUCUUCUGGUGGUUUUCAAAAGGUCACAAUAAACCUGACCCCCUUGCUGUACAGUGGGAAAAUAAAAAAAAAAAAA